AUACGGAGGAUCCGAGCGUUAUCCGGAUUUAUUGGGUUUAAGGGUGCGCAGGCGGCCAUUUAAGUCAGCGGUUAAAUCGUGGGGCUCAACCCCAUUCUGCCGUUGAUACUGGGUGGCUUGAUUGCGGUCGAGGUUGGCGGAAUUCGUUGUGUAGCGGUGAAAUGCAUAGAUAUGACGAAGAACACCGAUUGCGUAGGCAGCUGACCAGAUCGCAAAUGACGCUCAUGCACGAAAGUGCGGGGAUCGAACAGGAUUAGAUACCCUGGUAGUCCGCACAGUAAACGAUGAAUACUUGUUUUCGGCGAUAUAAUGUCGGAGGCAAAGCGAAAGCGAUAAGUAUUCCACCUGGGGAGUACGCCGGCAACGGUGAAACUCAAAUGAAUUGACGGGG
rnacentral:rRNA from 1 species